UGGGGAAUUUUGGACAAUGGGGGCAACCCUGAUCCAGCCAUGCCGCGUGAGUGAAGAAGGCCUUCGGGUUGUAAAGCUCUUUCGGCCGGGAAGAAAUCGCGCCAGCUAAUACCUGGUGUGGAUGACGGUACCGGAAGAAGAAGCACCGGCUAACUACGUGCCAGCAGCCGCGGUAAUACGUAGGGUGCGAGCGUUAAUCGGAAUUACUGGGCGUAAAGCGUGCGCAGGCGGUUUUGUAAGACAGGUGUGAAAUCCCCGGGCUUAACCUGGGAACUGCGCUUGUGACUGCAAGACUUGAGUGCGGCAGAGGGGGGUGGAAUUCCACGUGUAGCAGUGAAAUGCGUAGAGAUGUGGAGGAACACCGAUGGCGAAGGCAGCCCCCUGGGUCGACACUGACGCUCA
rnacentral:rRNA from 1 species